rnacentral:rRNA from 1 species
UACAGAGGUCUCGAGCGUUAGGCGGAAUCACUGGGCUUAAAGCGUGUGUAGGUGGAUGCCUAAGUACCUUGUGAAAUCCCACGGCUUAACCGUGGAACUGCUUGGUAUACUGGGUGUCUUGAGUCACUCAGGGGCGAGCGGAACAAAUGGUGGAGCGGUGAAAUGCGUAGAUAUCGGGAGGAAUACCUAUGGCGAAAGCAGUCUACUGGACCGUCACUGACUCUGAUCUGCGAAAGCUAGGGGAGCAGACAGG